UCUUCAAAUUUUCAUUUUUUUUGUGGGCAAAUGUUUUCGUUGGCAGGAAAUAUGAUCGCGACAGAAAUAUGUUUCAUAACCGCCGCAUUUUAUGCGUAAGAUCUGUAAUAGACAUCCGAAUAACAUUACCAACGUUUUUAUUAAUAAAACAGAAGCAACGCGAUUUAAAAGGAGAUUCGUAUGAAGCGUAAAAACAAAAGACUGUAAACAACCAUGUUAUUUAAAGCGAAACUUUUCUUAUUUACAACGAAUCAAAGCCAAAACGGUAUGUAAAUAAAAUACUAAAGGGACAGCGAAUAUCGUGAAAAUGUAAAUAAAAGCCGAGUUUUUGAAAGCGAGGAAUUUUCACAAGACAGCCAAUUAAUCACAGGCGUCGCCAAAAAACAGAAAAUAGAAUGUAUUCGUCACGUUUGAAACAAUUACAUAGGUACAUAUAUAUCAACCAGUGUCCCUCGGUUUUGUUUUCAAUCUUGACUGAACUGUGUAAGAGGCAACACCAUGAAUUCUGCCGAAGGAACCAACCUUGUAGCAACGUACUGCAUCUUGUUGCUACUGCUUGUGUCACUAUGGCUCAUGUAUUCAGCAUUCUAAGGAUCUAAGGAUGAAAUAAGCUGAUCAACACCUCAAACUUGAGACCAAUCCAAGAUGGCGGUCAACAAACGCUAUAAAAACAUUUAAUAUUUAGGAAACCGUAAUUUUAGUAAAUAAGUUAAUCGUAAGUUUAAGCAUUGUACACCCAAGCAUUUAAAUAAUUUAAAACCAUGGACAAGACUAGAGGGGUCACAUAGCAUGGAACAAAACACCAGUCAACGUGAACAUUUGACAGUGCUGGGCAUUCCAAUAUGAAUAAAGUCAAAACUAAAAAUAACCAAUGUGAAAGACAACACGUUAUGGAAAAAUAUCUAAUUUCAGAGAAAUGUUGAGUUAGCUAAUUUAUUGUUGAUGUUCGGUACAAAUCAUCUCGUUAAAGAAUUGAUCGUUGUUAUAUGAGAUAAGAGAGUUUUGUAAUAAAGGUUUAAUAGAA